GGGGAUGCCAGGCAUCGACGGUUAGUCGUGUCGGAUGUGUGCGUGUCGAAAUUGGUAAUCAAUUCGUUAAAAGGUUCCACUCUGUACGUGCAAACAAAGCAGUACCAAGUCCUUACGCUCGCGCGUUUGGAUUCGCACCCGCUGUAGCGUAACUUAACGCUCGCCGAUGCGAUGCUCAGUCGAUAAACGUCUCAUACGUCGACUUGGGUAGAAUAGCCACGAGACUCGGUGCGACCACGCCGUUCACGUAGUCCACUUAAAUGUAUGAACUCGAGAUCGUAGUGUUUGGCUAGUCUUCUAGCUACGAUCUUCAAACCAAAAGGCUAGCUACACACUGUAGACUCACCUUCGCACCCUGAUUCGGACGGGAGUUCAAUUCUCCCCAUCUCCACAU
rnacentral:tmRNA from 1 species